GAAAUCAGACGAGUGUCUCAUUAGAUUAUCAGCAGUCAUCCAAAACCUCCAAAAGAGCUCUUUUAAAUGAUUGUGGCUUAACAGACAAAAGCUGUCCAGCUCUGGCUACAGUUCUUGGAUCAGAUACCAAUCUGAAAGAGCUGAACAUGAACAAUAAUAAUCUGCAGGAUUCAGGAGUGGAGCUCCACUGCACUGGACUGAAGAAUAUUAAUUGCAAAUUAGAGAUACUGAGUCUGAAGAACAACUGUAUCACAGAAGGAGGGUGUCAUGUUCUGGCUGCAGCUCUAAA